CUGAAUUGUCAAUUAAUUAUAACGAUCAAAAGUCAAAGAACGUGAACUUGCUAAAUUAUUUUCUGUCGCUGAUGAUUAUUUCAUUAAACGUUGAAUUAUUUCUAGUUUAUUAUAUCUAAUACUAAAAGUUCAACUUAAUCUACGUUGUCGACCACAUAUAGCCUAAAAAUAACCUAUAUGCUAUUACUAAAAGUACGGCAGGUUAGAUAGUACGGACUAGUGCGACAAAACGGCAAAAACAUACAUUGUACAAACGGUGGAUGACAAAACGAUUAGACUCGAGACAGACUUGAACUGAUUACACGGAGGGAAACGAAACAUUGAAUUCGGGACUAAACGUAAGUGACAAUUAAUAAUAUUGUACAUACUCAUAUUUCUCUAUAGACACAUAAUUAACAUCACAAUCAAGAAACACCAAUUACAUGUUGAACUUAUGUAACCUUCUUAGGAAAAUAAUAAUCAUCCGGAUUAAAACCAAAAACCCAAUCGCCGGCCGUUUUAUUUCCGGGAUUAUUAUUGCGGAAUCACCCGAGGUUGUUGGCAAUUUCCAACAAGGCCACAGAUUCAUCCAGCUGGUUCCCCAAAACUAUGCAGUGGCCCAGAUUUAUUUCAAUUUACUCCGACACUCCUAAAUACAUGAGCUCCAUUUCGAUUUUUUUUUUCUCUGGCUGUGGAUACGACGGUAAUCAAAACAAAUGAACUCAUCAAACGUUGGGUGAAAAUCACG